ensembl:lncRNA
CGAAGGUUCACCUGAAGAUGAAAGAGCAAUAUAGUUUUGAGACUUCUACUUCGAUAAUUUAAACUACUGACUUGCAUUAUAACCUGGGCUGCAAUUAAAAUCACCUGGAAGCUUUAGUCAGCUGCUUUUAUCUAAGUCCUAUCUCAGGCCAACAAAAUAUAAAUUUCCGGAGAUAGAGGAAAGCAUGAAUCUUCUUUGAAAUCUCUGCAGAUCAUUACGUUGUUCUACUAAAGAUUAGUCUUGAGAUGACAUCUGUGCCAAUCUUCCUCCAUUUAUUUUUAUGUGGGUCAUCACCACAGCAUGGCUAACAAAUGGUGUAUGUUCGUGCCCAGGAUCCAAACCUGUGAACCCAGGUCGCUGAAGUGGAGGAUGCCAAACCCAACCACUAGGCCACAGGUGCUGGCCCUAAAAAGGGUCUGAUAAGCAAUUUGAAUCCUGAAAGUAAAGAUCAACUUUUUGCAUUUCCAGGGUGAUAUUAGGACUUCGUGGUUGUUUGCACAGUUCUAGUUAAGGAUGACAAACUCGAACAUGUUGAUGAAUAAAAAUGUCUUCUCCAUGCCUAAGGAGCCAAAGGAAACCUGUAAAUGCUGAACUGUAAAGAAUGCCAGGGAAGGGCACCACACAAUUUUGGCCCUCCAGUAAAAUUAUAUAUGAACACAAGCGCAUUUCUCUAAUACAGGGAAAUGUGCAAAGCCAUUGCAAGAAGACAAGAGGGUGGUGCAGUCUGAUACUGCAGAUGUAGAGAAUGGCCCUUGAUACCAAGCAUCCUUGGUGCCUAAGUGUGACAGGCACAAUCCUUCCCCCCAAAGACAUCUAUGCUUUAAUCUCUGGAGCAUGUGAGUAUGUCACCUUACAUGGAAAAAGGGACUUUGCAGGUGUGAUUAGGGUUAAGAACCUUAAAAGGGGGAGAUUAUCCUAGAUUAUGUUUAAGUGGACGUGACCUAAUUAUGUGAGUCCUUAACAGUGGAAGAAGCAGGCAGAAGAGUAGGUCAGAGAGAUGCGACGCGAGAAGGACUUGACCACCAUGGCUGGCUUUGAAGAUGGAAGACAAUGAUCAUGAGUCAAGUAAUGUGGUGUUUCUAGAAUCUGGAAAUGACCUUCAGUUUACAGGCAGCAAGAAAACAUGGACCUUGGUUCUACAAUGACAAAGACCUGAAUUCUGCCAACAGCCCCAAGGAGUAGGAAAGAGAUCCUCCCCUGGAACCUCCAGGAAGGAAUGCAGCCCACUGAGACCUGGUGAGACCUGUACCAGACUUCAACCUACAGCACUGUAAGAUGAUAAAUUUGUGUUGUGUUAAGCCACUGUUUAUGGUACUUUGUUGCUGUAGCAGUAGAAAACUAAUGCACCAAGUAACAAAUAACAUCAGGAAAACACAUUAGAAGAAUAUAAUGGAAAUAAAUUAUAGCAAGCAUUUAUAUAGCCAGAGACUAGCUUUCUGAAACCCUAGAAGCAAAUGCAGCUUGUAUUCUCCCAUGUUUUCUUGAGAAGGCCUAUGUAAUAUGGAUGCUCCAUGCACAUCCAUUGAUAGUUUUCAAGCACAGGCCGCAGGACUUACUGGGAGAGUGUUUUCCAUGGAGGGCUUGUGGCUAACAACUACUUUUGUGCAUAUUCUC